GCUCGUUACAAAUUAUCUUAUCACAAAACUAUCUAUUAUCUAUAGUUUCAGUGCUUGCAGAGAAUACCUUGCUGAAAACCGCUCAUCAUUUCCUUCUGCUCCUCGUUGGGUUCGACACUCUUACUUAUCGAAAGGACUACGAUAGAUCCCCUAUACUUGUGGGUUAUCAAUUUACAAUUGACUCAGAUGGCAGAGAUGCAAAUGAGUAACAAAACGAACGCAAAGAGGAGUCCUGGUCGCCGUCGAAGCAACGUCUGGGCCGCCAUCAGAUGCUUCAGGCAAGCGGCACUGGCGCUCCCGCCAACGAGGGGCGGCUUGCCUGACCGGCGGUCCACGCGCAGGUGCGCCCCACACGAGCGAGGCGAGGGACGGACCGCAAUGGAUCGAUGUCGGCGCGGUCGUCAUCAUCCUUACGUAUGAUGGAGGCGAGGCAGAGGGUCGCAGCGCCGGUCGCAGAGGAGAUGUUCGCCAACGGCCGGCAAACUCGGAGGCGGCGGCGGUGCGACGGCCGUGGUGGCGGCAGUGGUGAGGCCCCCUGCAUGCUUCCUCUGCUCAUGACCAAGGGAAAACGAAAGGACUGAGAUGUAGGGGAGGAAGAGAGGAAGAAGGAGAAAGGAGGUGUUGCGGGGAGGCACUGGAGCUGCGGUGGGGCGGCAUGCGCGAGGACGAAGAGGAAGGAGGAGGCGGUCGAGGGGCUCGGUGGUGGCCUCCUGGAUCGAGAGCUCUACGGGGAAGCCUUAAAGCACCGACGGCCAUUGAGAGGGACUGGAGUGUUGUUCCUCGCUGGACAGAGAGAAGGGGAUAGAAGAGAGAAAGGGAAUCAGGAGUGUGGGGGAGAAGAACACGUGGGGAGAGAUGGGGAUGAGGGCGGCUGAGAAGAUGAGGUUGGAGAGAUA
rnacentral:rRNA from 1 species